AUACGGAGGGUGCAAGCGUUGUCCGGAUUUAUUGGGUUUAAAGGGUGUGUAGGCGGUGUAUUAAGUCAGUGGUGAAAGCCUGCGGCUCAACCGUAGAACUGCCAUUGAUACUGACACACUUGAGUAUGGACGAGGUAGGCGGAAUUUAUGGUGUAGCGGUGAAAUGCAUAGAUACCAUAAAGAACACCGAUAGCGAAGGCGGCUUACUAGGCCAUAACUGACGCUGAGGCACGAAAGCGUGGGGAGCGAACAGGAUUAGAAACCCCAGUAGUCC
rnacentral:rRNA from 1 species